ACGAAGGGGGCUAGCGUUGCUCGGAAUGACUGGGCGUAAAGGGCGCGUAGGCGGAUUAUUCAGUCAGGCGUGAAAUUCCUGGGCUCAACCUGGGGACUGCGUUUGAGACGGAUAGUCUUGAGUUCGGAAGAGGGUCGUGGAAUUCCCAGUGUAGAGGUGAAAUUCGUAGAUAUUGGGAAGAACACCGGUGGCGAAGGCGGCGACCUGGUCCGAUACUGACGCUGAGGCGCGAAAGCGUGGGGAGCAAACAGGAUUAGAUACCCUGGUAGUCCACGCUGUAAACGAUGUGUGCUGGAUGUUGGGGGGCCUAGCCUUUCAGUGUCGUAGCUAACGCGAUAAGCACACCGCCUGGGGAGUACGGCCGCAAGGUUG
rnacentral:rRNA from 1 species